rnacentral:rRNA from 1 species
AACGAACGCUGGCGGCAUGCCUAACACAUGCAAGUCGAACGAGCCCUUCGGGUCUAGUGGCGCACGGGUGCGUAACGCGUGGGAACCUGCCCUUAGGUUCGGAAUAACUCCCCGAAAGGGGUGCUAAUACCGGAUAAUGUCUUCGGACCAAAGAUUUAUCGCCUUUGGAUGGGCCCGCGUUGGAUUAGCUAGUUGGUAGGGUAAAAGCCUACCAAGGCGACGAUCCAUAGCUGGUCUGAGAGGAUGAUCAGCCACACUGGGACUGAGACACGGCCCAGACUCCUACGGGAGGCAGCAGUGGGGAAUAUUGGACAAUGGGCGAAAGCCUGAUCCAGCAAUGCCGCGUGAGUGAUGAAGGCAUUAGGGUUGUAAAGCUCUUUUAACCGGGAUGAUAAUGACAGUACCGGGAGAAUAAGCUCCGGCUAACUCCGUG